UUGUGCCCAGAGUUUGAUUUUCCACAGACCAGGUAGAGGCCAAGAGCCUCUCACAGACUCUGCAGCAGGGUUGCUAUGAUUAACUCUUAAGUACUCCACAACUACACGCUUUUGAAACUGGCGUUGGCAUAGCGUUAGUUCUGUGCAGGGCGGACGCAGCAGGACAGAAUCUCCCUGGGCAUCUUUUCGGAGCAUCAAUUUUACUGCAAAAUUUUGAAAAAACAAAUUUAAUUGAUUUCCAAGGUUUGUCAAGGAGGACAGAAACUCAGAGCACCCUGCACUUGGGGAUCGGCACUAGGAGCUGCUCUCUGGAUGGGGAGAUGGGAGCUAGCAGCUCACAAUGGGGUCACAAGACAGGAGUGUUAUUGGGAGAAUCCUGUUUUGUUGACAAAUACUGAGAUCAUCCAACUCACCAGGCAAAGUUGACUUGUGUAAGUGAUCUUCAGAUAUGAAAAGUGUGGAACCCAGCUGCUCCUCCUCAGAUAGGCGACAUGACAAUUGUAGGCCUGGAGGGAGAUGAGUUGACAACAUCCCUUCCCUAUAACCACUUGUUGGAUCUGAUCUCACAUACACAGACUCACUCCAAAGACUGACCUGGGUGUCUGCUUCUCAGCUUCAUUAACAGUGGGUGCUCACAAGUCUAGUGGAGAGAAUGUCUGAGAAGAGGAGGACCUUGACUGCUCCUGAACCGGAGACCUCAGAACCAUGGUGCUCUCCUGUCCAGGCUGAACACUAAUGCUCUUGAGAGUCACAUUGAAGAAAGCCAACAUUUUUAAAUCUAAUGGAUACAUUCAUUUUGUGUAGUAACAGGAUCUUCUACACUGUAGCUGCUUCCAGUGUGAGCCAGACAAAUGUACUGAAUAUAGGCCUCAGAGGUGAUCCCACCACCUUCACAGCAAUGGUCCUUCCCCAGGAGCUUCCCCUGAGAAACGGGCCAUCCAGACCAUACUGCUGCUGAAUAAUGUCUCAUUGGAAAUCUCAACAUUCUUCAUUUAGAACACCACCGCCAAUAUCUACCAUAUGCCGGGAUUAUUGUGCAGG
rnacentral:lncRNA from 1 species